rnacentral:lncRNA from 1 species
AGGAACCACUAGAUGGAAAAUGGAAGAGUCAAGUUUGCUGCUGUUCCUUCUCCUCAUCAGGCACUUCCAACCUGUUCUCAUGCUAUGAUCAAUAUUUUCUGCUAUUUUCCGUCUAUCCAGCUAUAUGUGAAAAUCUGGAGCAAGGGUUAUUGAGCCAAAUUUCAUCAUCUGGCAGGGAAGUACGCUCAGGGAGCAGCGAGCUGUUGACAAUGCAGAGAGGCCCUGAGAAAGGCCUUAACAGUACAAACCAAGCAUUAGGAAGGGACCAUAAUUUUCCCUGGCUGAGAGAAGAUUCAUUCUAUUUAACUGCCAAUCCAUGUGGUGUGCUUCAAAGGAAAAAUGGAUUAUGGAAAAGUUGGCCACAGAUUAUUGGCACGUAUCUCUAAAAUGGGAAUAUGUCAGAUGAGAAGUUCUUCGGAGAGAUGUGAUGGCUGAUGUCAAAUCCUGCUCACCCAUUUUCCAUGACCGUAAGCUGAGAGUUGUUAUUGUCAUUGUAGCAGCUGAAAUGACUCUUCCUAUCAUCUGAUGUCUUUGGGCUUUGUCUGUACUCACUCUGAAGCCCAUUCCUUAUGCUGAUGAAUGUCUUCCUUCAGACGGCUCUGAAGCUCACUCCCAUCCUGAAUGUCCUUCCCUGCUUCUCUGAUGCUGUUACCUUGUGAGUGAUUUCCCAUAAUUCUUGUGAAGACACGUUGCAUUUUCUGUGCUGCCAGAUGCAGUCCUCUGAGCCUUAGCAGGUUGAGGGCAGCCAGACACAGUUUUGCAGCUGCCUUGUAAAAAUCCCAGUGGCUGAGACCUCAGUGCUGUUAGGAUGUACACAUAUGUCCAAAUUUUUUGAAUUCUUAUAGGGAGGGCCUAUCCCGAGCCCCAAAAUGUUCCCAAACUCCUGCAGUAGGUGCACCCUGCCUGCCUAACAUGCAUGCACUGUAGUAUUCUUACGUCUACUUUUUCUCCAGUUCAGAUUCCCUAGCAUAUAUGAGAAUGGAAGGCAAAUAAAUAAAUAAAUAAAUGUUCUAAGUC